AAAACUAUGUUUUCAGGAAUUAUUUCUCUAGUUGGUGACUGGAGAAGGGUAGCUAUGAAUAGCUGAGCUUGCUAACCACCAUAAGACAUUGUAGUGUUUCUUUCUGAGCAUGAAAGUGAUAGAAAGCACUGUUCUAUGAUAGCUGCUUUUUGCUGUAGAAGAGUGUCUUGUUCUUUCUGAGAAAAGCAGGGGAAAGAUGCAUAGUCUAAGUGGU